rnacentral:lncRNA from 1 species
UUUUUUUUUUUUUUUUUUUGGAGACAGGGUCUUGCUCUGCUCUGUCAUCCACACUGCAGUGCAGUGGUGUGAACACAGCUCACUGAAGCCUCGAUUUCCUGGGCUCAAGAGAUUCCCCAGCCUUGGCCUCGCAAAAUGUUGGGAUUACAGGCGGAGGAGGUUCCAAGCGUUGAUGUGGAUGAUUCCAGACCAACAGUUGGAAAGAUAUGCAGUAGCCUAGACAAGAACUAGGCAAGUAGGGUUGGGGUAGAGGCUUCCAGCAUGUCCUGGAGAUAUAAUACGGAAGGUCUGGGGUUUUUUGAAUGUAGGAGGAUCAGGAAGGUCAUACUUGUCUCUGUAUUAGUCAGGGUUCUCCAGAAAAAUAGACCAAUAUGAUUGAUCAAUCUAUCUGUCUAUCCACCUCUAUCUCUAUCACUGUAUUAUCAUCUAUGAUGUAUUUUAAGGAAUUAACUCAUGCGAUUAUGGAGGCUGAGAAAUCCCACACUCUGCUUCUGCAAACUGGAGACCCUGGAAGGCUGGCGGUGUAACUCUGAGAACUGGGAAUCUGAUGGUGCAAGUCCCAGGAGAGGGCAGAAGACUGAUGUCUCCACUCAACCAAUCAGGCAGACAGAGCAAACUCUCCCUCCUCUGCUUCUGUUGUUCUAUUCAGGCCCUCAAUGGAUUGGAUGACAGGACUGGAUGAGGACCCCCACACUGGGGAGGGCCAUCUGCUUUACUCAGCCACUGAUUCAAAUGCCGGUCUCAUUCAGAAUCACUCUCACAGACACAACCAGAAAUAAUGUUUUACGUAGGCACUCCAUGCCCCAAUCAAGUCAACACAUAAAAAUAACCAUCACGAGUCUACCCCUUGUCAACUUGACACUCAUCCUCAUCUCCUGAAACCAUACUUAAUCUCCAAAUAAUGACAAUAACAAGAUAAUAAUUCUGCCUAAUAUGAUACAUCUAUCCUGUGUGCCACCGAAAAUGCACAAACUCUUUCCCAGAAAAGGAUAGGAAUGAGUGAUGUUUAGUCUUCUCUUUGAUAUUCUUCUGAAACUUAAAGA